rnacentral:rRNA from 1 species
CAGGGAAUUUUGCACAAUGGACGGAAGUCUGAUGCAGCGACGCCGCGUGGGUGAAGAAGGCCUUCGGGUUGUAAAGCCCUUUUCUGGGGGAAGAGGAAGGACAGUAUCCCCGGAAUAAGGCUCGGCUAACUACGUGCCAGCAGCCGCGGUAACACGUAGGAGCCAAGCAUUAUCCGAAUUCACUGGGCGUAAAGCGCGUGUAGGCGGCUUGGUAAGUUGGAUGUGAAAGCUCCUGGCUCAACUGGGAGAGGACGUUCAAUACUGCCGGGCUAGAGGGCGACAGAGGGAGGUGGAAUUCCCGGUGUAGUGGUGAAAUGCGUAGAUAUCGGGAGGAACACCAGUGGCGAAAGCGGCCUCCUGGGUCGCACCUGACGCUCAGACGCGAAAGCUAGGGGAGCGAACGG